CUGGCGGCGUGCUUAACACAUGCAAGUCGAACGCGAAAGGGACUUCGGUCCUGAGUAAAGUGGCGCACGGGUGAGUAACGCGUGGAUAAUCUGCCCUUAUGAUCGGGAUAACAGUUGGAAACGGCUGCUAAUACCGGAUACGCUCAAAAUGAACUUUUUGAGGAAAGAUGGCCUCUGCUUGCAUGCUAUCGCGUAAGGAUGAGUCCGCGUCCCAUUAGCUUGUUGGCGGGGUAACGGCCACCAAGGCAACGAUGGGUAGCCGAUUUGAGAGGAUGAUCGGCCACACUGGAACUGAAACACGGUCCAGACUCCUACGGGAGGCAGCAGUGGGGAAUAUUGCGCAAUGGGCGAAAGCCUGACGCAGCGACGCCGCGUGAGGGAUGAAGGUUUUCGGAUCGUAAACCUCUGUCAGAAGGGAAGAAACUACGUUGUGCUAAUCAGCAGCGUACUGACGGUACCUUCAAAGGAAGCACCGGCUAACUCCGUGCCAGCCGCAGC
rnacentral:rRNA from 1 species